rnacentral:snoRNA from 1 species
UUAAAACUCACUCAAAACUGGUUUGGAGACCGAGUUUUUUAUUCUUCUCCAUUUGUAUAAGGAAUGCAUCAACGAAAUCAUUCCCUUCGCCUUCCAAUGAA